rnacentral:rRNA from 1 species
GACGAACGCUGGCGGCGUGCUUAACACAUGCAAGUCGAACGGAAAGGCCCUGCUCUUGUGGGGUGCUCGAGUGGCGAACGGGUGAGUAAAACGUGAGUAACCUGCCCUUGACUUUGGGAUAACUUUAGGAAACUGGGGCUAAUACCGGAUAGGAGCUCCUGCUGCAUGGUGGGGGUUGGAAAGUUUCGGCGGUUGGGGAUGGACUCGCGGCUUAUCAGCUUGUUGGUGGGGUAGUGGCUUACCAAGGCUUUGACGGGUAGCCGGCCUGAGAGGGUGACCGGCCACAUUGGGACUGAGGUACGGCCCAGACUCCAACGGGAGGCAGCAGUGGGGAGUAUGGCACAAUGGGCGGAAGCCUGAUACAGCAACGCCGCGUGCGGGAUGACGGCCUUCGGGUUGUAAACCGCUUUCGCCUGUGACGAAGCGUGAGUGACGGUAAUGGGUAAAGAAGCACCGGCUAACUACGUG